GAAAUGCGAUAAGUAAUGUGAAUUGCAGAAUUCAGUGAAUCAUCGAAUCUUUGAACGCAUCUUGCGCUCCUUGGUAUUCUGAGGAGCAUGCCUGUUUGAGUGUCAUUCAAGUUCUCAUCCACAUUGAUUAUUUUUUGAUGUGGCUUGGAUUGUGGGGGGUGCAGGCUUUUGAAAAUGAAGUCGGCUCCCCUGAAAUGCAUUAGUAGUAUCUGAGCAGAGAAAAACUACUACAGGUGUGAUAAUUUAUCUAUGCCUUGGUGUUGCUGCAUGAAAUCAGAUUGCACUGCUUCUAAUCUAAUGAGUGGUGAAAACCAUUGUUCUGAUGAAUUUGACCUCAAAUCAGGUAGGACUACCCGCUGAACUUAA
rnacentral:rRNA from 1 species